CUGCAACUCGACUACAUGAAGCUGGAAUCGCUAGUAAUCGCAGAUCAGAAUGCUGCGGUGAAUACGUUCCCGGGUCUUGUACACACCGCCCGUCACACCAUGGGAGUCGGAAAUGCCCGAAGCCGGUGACCAAACCAAUAAGGAAGGAGCCGUCGAAGGCAGGUCUGAUAACUGGGGUGAAGUCGUAACAAGGUAUC
rnacentral:rRNA from 1 species